rnacentral:rRNA from 1 species
UCCUACGGGGGAGCAGCAGCUAAGAAUCUUCCGCAAUGGGCGAAAGCCUGACGGAGCGACGCCGCGUGAACGAAGAAGGCCGUGAGGUUGUAAAGUUCUUUUCGGGAGGGGGAAUUACCGUGGCAGGGAAUGGCCGCGGGAUGACGUGAAUCCCGGAACAAGCCCCGGCUAACUACGUGCCAGCAGCCGCGGUAACACGUAGGGGGCGAGCGUUGUUCGGAAUCAUUGGGCGUAAAGGGCGUGCAGGCGGCACUGCAAGUCCGGCGUGAAAGACCCCGGCCCAACCGGGGGGGUGCGCUGGAAACUGCGGUGCUUGAGUACAGGAGGGGAUGCCGGAAUUCCAGGUGUAGGGGUGAAAUCUGUAGAUAUCUGGAAGAACACCGAUGGCGAAGGCAGGCAUCUGGCCAUGUACUGACGCUGAGACGCGAAGGUGCGGGGAGCAAACAGGUUUAGAUACCCUGGUAGUCCGCACAGUAAACGAUGUGCACCAGGUGGCGGGGGUAGAACCCCCGGUACCGUAGCAAACGCUAUU